rnacentral:rRNA from 1 species
UAGAACAACUCUCAGCAACGGAUAUCUUGGCUCUUGCAACGAUGAAGAACGCAGCGAANUGCGAUACGUAGUGUGAAUUGCAGAANUNCGCGAAUCAUCGAGUUUUUGAACGCAAGUUGCGCCCGAGGCUUGUCCGAGGGCAUUUCCGCUAGAGCGUCACC